rnacentral:lncRNA from 1 species
UGUAUGCUGAACAUUCACAUUUGGCAAAUAUGCUCGCGAAAAUAGUCUCAAACCACAAGAGGUGUAUGCUUUCUUUUGAGGCUAACAAUAACUUACCUGUCUCAGGAGAGUCCACCUGGCCUUUGCGACAUCAAUAGCACCACAGGUCUUAUCCCGAGAGCUGUGGGAAUUAGCUGCGCAGAUGUCUUCAUUAAUAUUUUUCCUCAAAAGCGAUGCCGGCUCGGUCUUUUCUGCUGUACCGUUGGAGUCCCUCUCCAUUUUAUCUUUGAAGAUGUGGGUGGAAAUAAAUCUGCAAACAAUGUUACGCCUUGUAAGGCUGUCACAGUUAUCGGUAGAUAUGUGGUUAUACAAAAAUAAGGCUUUUUUCUGUUAACUACACCAACGCAGAACUGCUCGCAGAUAUGCUUGGCUGUAAUCACCUGUUACACCCACAAUGGAUACAUGCUACUUCCGUACACUUUUGGCAUUUGAGACAUAGCAAUAGAUUAUCGAAACAAUCAUGCUCGAUUGUCAGUUACAAACUGCCGGCUGCUCAUGGUCUGAAUUCGAUUAUUUUAGUCUGGCGUUGCUCACUACGUCAUCCACUGUGGGCUUUGUUUAGGAAAUCAUGCACGUGCAUAGAAUUUGCUUGCUGCUGUCAACGGUUACCCAACGACAGGACGUUUGAUUUAAUGAAUGAAUACACAUUUCAGGUUGAAAUACAACGCCUAUGUGUCAUGUGAAACGUGUUUUAUUGUCGAUAUGACUGACAUAAAUGUACCAGACAGUGUCAGUUAGCUACCUAAAACCACAUAAUCACAGCUAUCACGUGUUAAUGUAGCUAAUAAACCGUUCAAUCGUCGUAAUGGCGCUCCUCUCCUCUCUGCUGUGUUCACCGGUUCGUCUCGUUUCACCAUCUCGGUUACGAUUUUGGGAGCUGGCCAUUUGCAAACGGAGAACAUGGCUCUCCAUGUCGGUCCAUCGUUGUUACACGUCGGACACUACAAACUCAGUUGAUCAUCUCAGCUGUGGACUUGAGAGGUACAAGGACUUACAGAAGUAUUUCAACAGGAGACUGAAGGCAGCAUACCGCAGAUUCUCCAACAUGCCUGAUCCCUCAUUGGUAAGAACUGCCUUCUGCUUCGGGUUUGAACUAUUUCAUUAUGAUUUACAACCUCAUGUGUAAAGGACACCAACAUUCACUCUGGUGGUGUCAGGAACACAGCAUUUCUGUGUGGGGUUAGUAGGAUGUGGAAGACUCAAAUUACACUCAUUGGCAGUUGUGAACUUGAGGCAUUUGUAAUGUCUCUUGACACAGGUCUGUGGACUUCACCAUGUGUAUUUCAUUGAGGGUGACGGCAUCUACAGAAUGGACCGGAGACAAAGUGAGCAGAAAACAUGAAUUUGACUACUUUUGGUAACAACUCGUAAAGUCAGAAACUUGAGAACAGAGCCCUGUAAUGAUAUUGCAUUCUAAC